UACUGUUUUGGUCAAGCCGAAACGGAUU
rnacentral:sRNA from 1 species